rnacentral:rRNA from 1 species
GACAGAGGAGGCAAGCGUUAUCCGGAAUUAUUGGGCGUAAAGCGUCCGUAGGUGGUUUGAUAAGUCUGGGGUUAAAGCCCGGAGCCCAACUCCGGAUCGGCCCUGGAUACUGUCAGACUUGAGUAAGGUAGGGGUUGCGGGAAUUCCCGGUGUAGCGGUGAAAUGCGUAGAUAUCGGGAAGAACACCAGCGGCGAAAGCGCGCAACUGGGCCAUUACUGACCAUGAGGUACGAAAGCUAGGGGAGCAAAUGGG